rnacentral:rRNA from 1 species
GAUUAACGCUGGCGGCGUGCCUAACACAUGCAAGUCGUGCGGAGUUACAGUGGUAGCAAUAUAAUAUCUUUGGAUAUUUAGUGGCGAACGGGUGAGUAAUGUACAGGUAAUGUACCUUCGUACUGCGAAUAACAAGCUGAAAAGUUUGCUAAUACGGAAUAGUUUCCUUCGAGGGCAUCCUUAAAGGAAUAAAGAUUUAUCGUGCGGAGAUCAGCCUGUUUCCUUUUAGUUAGUUGGUGGGGUAAUGGCCUACCAAGACGACGAUGGGUAACUGGUCUGAGAGGAUGAGCAGUCACAUUGGAACUGAGAAACGGUCCAAACUCCUACGGGAGGCAGCAGUGAGGAAUUUUGCGCAAUGGGGGAAACCCUGACGCAGCAACGCCGCGUGAGUGAUGACGGCCUUCGGGUUGUAAAGCUCUGUCGUGUGUGACGAGUAGGGACGGUACACACAAGAAGCUCGGCUACUACGUGCCAGCAGCCGCGGUAGACGUAGGGGCAGCGUUAUCCGGAUCACUGGGCGUAAGAGCUUCGUAGUGGA